UACGUAGGGGGCAAGCGUUGUCCGGAUUUAUUGGGCGUAAAGAGCGUGUAGGCGGUUUGGUAGGUCCGUUGUGAAAACUCGAGGCUCAACCUCGAGACGCCGGCGGAAACCAUCAGGCUAGAGUCCGGAAGAGGAGAGUGGAAUUCCUGGUGUAGCGGUGAAAUGCGCAGAUAUCAGGGAGAACACCCGUGGCUAAGGCGGCUCUCUAGUACGGUACUGACGCUGAGACGCGAAAGCGUGGGGAGCGAACAGG
rnacentral:rRNA from 1 species